AUACGGAGGGUGCAAGCGUUAUCCGGAUUUAUUGGGUUUAAAGGGUGCGUAGGCGGAUCGGUCAGUCAGUGGUGAAAUCCCAUAGCUUAACUAUGGAACUGCCAUUGAUACUGCCAAUCUCGAGUAUAGUCGAAGUGGAUGGAAUGUAACAUGUAGCGGUGAAAUGCAUAGAUAUGUUACAGAACACCGAUUGCGAAGGCAGUUCACUAAACUAUUACUGACGCUGAGGCACGAAAGCGUGGGGAGCGAACAGGAUUAGAAACCCUAGUAGUCC
rnacentral:rRNA from 1 species